rnacentral:rRNA from 1 species
CAGAAACUACAAAGGAAUUGACGGGGCCCGCACAAGCGGUGGAGUAUGCGGUUUAAUUCGAUGCAACGCGAAGAACCUUACCUGGUCUUGACAUCCCGGAGACCCUUAGGAAACUAGGGGGUGCUUCCAUCUGGAAGAAUCUGGAGACAGGUGCUGCAUGGCUGUCGUCAGCUCGUGUCGUGAGAUGUUGGGUUAAGUCCCGCAACGAGCGCAACCCUUGCCUUUAGUUGCCAGCAGUUCGGCUGGGCACUCUAAAGGGACUGCCGGUGUUAAACCGGAGGAAGGUGGGGAUGACGUCAAGUCCUCAUGGCCUUUAUGACCAGGGCUACACACGUACUACAAUGGCCGAUACAAAGGGCAGCGACACUGCGAGGUGAAGCCAAUCCCGUAAAAUCGGUCUCAGUCCGGAUUGGAGUCUGCAACUCGAUUCCAUGAAGCUGGAAUCGCUAGUAAUCGUGGAUCAGCCAAGCCGCGGUGAAUACGUUCCCGGGCCUU